rnacentral:rRNA from 1 species
GAUGAACGCUGGCGGCGUGCCUAAUACAUGCAAGUCGAGCGAACGGACGAGAAGCUUGCUUCUCUGAUGUUAGCGGCGGACGGGUGAGUAACACGUGGAUAACCUACCUAUAAGACUGGGAUAACUUCGGGAAACCGUAGCUAAUACCGGAUAAUAUUUUGAACCGCAUGGUUCAAAAGUGAAAGACGGUCUUGCUGUCACUUAUAGAUGGAUCCGCGCUGCAUUAGCUAGUUGGUAAGGUAACGGCUUACCAAGGCAACGAUGCAUAGCCGACCUGAGAGGGUGAUCGGCCACACUGGAACUGAGACACGGUCCAGACUCCUACGGGAGGCAGCAGUAGGGAAGCUUCCGCAAUGGGCGAAAGCCUGACGGAGCAACGCCGCGUGAGUGAUGAAGGUCUUCGGAUCGUAAAACGCUGUUAUUAGGGAAGAACAUAUGUGUAAGUAACUGUGCACAUCUGGACGGUACCUAAUCAGAAAGCCACGGCUAACUACGU